GACCCCAGCAAUGGGCAAAGACCUUGUUGUUGGUGGCGAUCUUAUAUCAGACAGGAGCAGAGCAGAUGGCAGUACUUUGUUCAUCCUAGCUUGAUAACUGACUUGGUGGCCAAAGCUGUUUAGUGCCUAGGACACAUAA